rnacentral:rRNA from 1 species
UACGGUGGGAGCAAGCGUUGUUCGGAUUUACUGGGCGUAAAGGGCGCGUAGGCGGUAGCACAAGUCAGUUGUGAAAUCUCCGGGCUUAACUCGGAAAGGUCAACUGAUACUGUGCGACUAGAGUGCAGAAGGGGCAACUGGAAUUCUCGGUGUAGCGGUGAAAUGCGUAGAUAUCGAGAGGAACACCUGCGGCGAAGGCGGGUUGCUGGGCUGACACUGACGCUGAUGCGCGAAAGCCAGGGGAGCGAACGGG